rnacentral:rRNA from 1 species
AUUGAACGCUGGCGGCAGGCCUAACACAUGCAAGUCGGGCGAGUGGCGGACGGGUGAGUAAUGUAUGGGGAUCUGCCUGAUGGCGGGGGAUAACUACUGGAAACGGUAGCUAAUACCGCAUACCAUCAGAUGAACCCAUAUGGGAUUAGCUAGUAGGUAAGGUAACGGCUUACCUAGGCGACGAUCCCUCGCUGGUCUGAGAGGAUGAUCAGCCAUACUGGAACUGGAACACGGCCCAGACUCCUACGGAAGUAAGCAGUGGGGAAUAUGGCACAAUGGGCGCAAGCCUGAUGCAGCCAUGCCGCGUGUAUGAAGAAGGCCGUCGAGUUGUAAAGUACUUUCAGUCGGGAGGCGUUACCGACAGAAGAAGCACCGGCUAACUCCGUGCCAGCAGCCGCGGUAAUUC